rnacentral:rRNA from 1 species
UACGUAGGGUGCGAGCGUUAAUCGGAAUUACUGGGCGUAAAGCGUGCGCAGGCGGCGCGUUAAGACAGGUGUGAAAGCCCCGAGCUUAACUUGGGAAUUGCGCUUGUGACUGGCGUGCUGGAGUGUGGCAGAGGAGGUGGAAUUCCACGUGUAGCAGUGAAAUGCGUAGAGAUGUGGAGGAACACCGAUGGCGAAGGCAGCCUCCUGGGCCAGCACUGACGCUCAUGCACGAAGCGUGGGAGCAAACAGGAUAGAU